GUUUAAAUAGUUUAAUUAAAAACAUUGAUCUUGUAAAUCAAAAUUAAAUAACUUUUUUAAACU
rnacentral:tRNA from 1 species